rnacentral:tRNA from 1 species
GCUGUGUUGGCAGAAUUAGUGCAAUAAAUUUAGGAUUUAUUUAUGUGAAAUAUUUCACACUCAGUA